GACGAACGCUGGCGGCGUGCCUAAUACAUGCAAGUAGAACGCUGAAGGAGGAGCUUGCUUCUCCGGAUGAGUUGCGAACGGGUGAGUAACGCGUAGGUAACCUGCCUGGUAGCGGGGGAUAACUAUUGGAAACGAUAGCUAAUACCGCAUAACAGUAGAUAUUGCAAGAUAUCUGCUUGAAAGGUGCAAUUGUAUCACUACCAGAUGGACCUGCGUUGUAUUAGCUAGUUGGUGAGGUAACGGCACACCAAGGCGACGAUACAUAGCCGACCUGAGAGGGUGAUCGGCCACACUGGGACUGAGACACGGCCCAGACUCCUACGGGAGGCAGCAGUAGGGAAUCGUCGGCAAUGGACGGAAGUCUGACCGAGCAACGCCGCGUGAGUGAAGAAGGUUUUCGGAUCGUAAAGCUCUGUUGUAAGAGAAGAACGAGUGUGAGAGUGGAAAGUUCACACUGUGACGGUAUCUUACCAGAAAGGGACGGCUAACUACGUG
rnacentral:rRNA from 1 species